CACGACGGUGAGAGGGCGUGUGUGUAAGCGGAGCGAUGCGUUGAGCUAACCGGUACUAAUGAACCGUGAGGCUUAACCUUACAACGCCGAAG
rnacentral:rRNA from 1 species